rnacentral:lncRNA from 1 species
UCACUCUGCAUAGUAAUUUUAAUAUAAAAGGUUUAAACUUAUUUAUUUUGCCAACAUUUCUUACUUGUAUAUAGCCUAAAAAAUAGACAUCAGAAAUCUGUGGGAUAUAUUUUAUAAAUAAACAAGGUAAGAACAUAAAUUUUCAAACUCUGGUGGAGAAAUUAAUUCUCCAUUAAAGGGGUUCAAGCUAUUAGUAAUAAAACAGAAAUUAUAAGGAAUCCCUUCAUGAGAUGCAAGAAAAUAUAGAAUUUUAGCUGGAAAUGUACUGAUGAUGGUCUCUCAUUUCUUCUCCCAGAUAUGCAAAUAAUACAUCUCAGUACUUACUAGAGCCAAAUCUAUCUCAAAAGCAUUAAUAUUUCUCCUUUUUGCUAAUACUCAAUGAGACACAACACUUAGAAUAAAACUUUUUCCAUGAAUAAGGGAUAGUAAUAUCCACCUGUAAAAGGAAAAAAAAUGAUUUAGAAUAUUAACUUCUAAACAAAUAAAUAUAUUAACUUAGAGAGAUCAUAGUUUAUUCAAAUAUAAUCUUAUUAAUCCAGUAUGGCUAACCUGGACACAUAUCAAUAAUGAUACUUGAUGGCUAAAUGUACCUCUAAUUCUGUACAAUUAAAAGGAUACAUGAUUGAAGAAAAAAAAUCUUUACUGUUAAAUAUGGUAUUUAGUCUACAACCAAAAUUUCAAAUCUACUUUCACAUAUAAAUAUACGUGAUCUUAAGAGAUCUACAUAGUAUACAAAUUGAAUUGUUCAACUAUAAAAAUAUCCCUCUGGCUAUGUCCUGAAUACUUGCCUGUAGUCCUCUGAGUUAGCGCCAAACUCAAUCCAUAUUCCAAGUAAGAGAUUUAAGAUGCUCAAUACUGGAAUUACCUGGCAUCAAUUUAAACCUGAAUGAAAAGAUUAGCAAUUUUUUCCAAAGAAGGUGGAAAAAAUGAAAACUUAAUAUGUAAAAUAAAUGGCCAUAUUAAGAUUCACAUUAAAGAGGGAGUUCCCUGGUGGCCUAGAGGUUAGGACUUGGUGCUUUCAUGGCUGUGGCCUAGGUUCAAUCCCUGGACUGGGAAGUGAGAUCCUACAUCAGGCCGCUCCAUGCUGUGGCAAGAAAAAAAAAAAGACUGACAUUAUUAAACGUGUAAGUUUUAUUUUACUGUUUGCUCUCUGUGUUUCAAAAUUACACAAAAAUGGAAGCAUAUUAACUCUAACAAAAUUCUAAGUCCUGCUGAGUUACCUAGAUGUGUGUUUCAUUAGGUAUUGAUAGGUUAUUUCCUCUUAUUAGAGACUGGAAAGAUGCUACAUACUAUUAGAAUAAAUUUCAAUGCAACUGUUUUCUACAUUUUCUUACUCUCUCAAUAUUUCAAUUUUUUUCCAAUUCAUUCUCAGAGAUUAAAACAAGAAAAGUUUUUAUUUAGCCUCAAAUAAUCCUUUUUCACAUCUGAAGCAACUAAAUAUAAAGAUUUGCUUAGUAAAUACAAAACGGAGGUUUUCUGUCAUUUAAAAGACAGAUUAGACUAAAUAUAAUUUUCUAAAAUAUGACUUCAAAUACAUUAAGGAAAAUAAAAAAAAUAGAAAUCUAAUUCUUAGGUUGUUCUGGAAAGUGCUGGACUAACUUUUUAAUUCAUUUAUUUAUUUAAUACUUCUAAGUAUCCAUGUAUUACUUCCUGAAAUAUUUUUGGUGGAACCAAAUAUUAUCAUAUAUUUGUUACAGUCUUUCAUGAAAUAGUUGAGAUGAAAUAAAAAACAGGUUAAAAGGUUGAUGAAAAAGCACCAAGGCAAUAUUAUUUCCAUGUAAAAGCUGCCAUUUAAUUCUAGCCAAUAUGGUAUGUUACUUUGUUAUUUUGGGAAAAAAAAAUUUGCUGGAAAAAAGAUUUGGAGUUCCCGUCAUGGCUCAGUGGUUAACAAAUCCGACUAGGAACCAUGAGGUUGCAGGUUUGAUCCCUGGCCUUGCUCAGUGGGUCAAGGAUCAGCGUUGCUGUGAGCUGUGGUGUAGGUUGCAGACACGGCUCGGAUCCCUUGCUGCUGUGGCUCUGGCAUAGGCCAGUGGCUACAGCUCCGAUUAGACCCCUAGCCUGGGAACCUCCAUAUGCCGUGGGACGGCCCAAGAAAUAGCAACAACAACAAAAAAAGACAAAAAAAAAAAAAAAUUAAAAAAAAAAUGUAUAUUUUACAAUGUGUAUUUAGGAGUUCCCAUCGUGGCUCAGCGUAAAUGAAUCUGACUAGCAUCCAUGAGGACACAAGUUCGAUCCCUGGCCUCUCUCAGUGGGUUAAGGAUUCAGUGUGGCCAUCAGCUGUGGUGCAGGUCACAGAUACGGCUCAGAUCUGGUGUUGCUGUGGCUGUGGCCAUGGCCAGCAGCUACAGCUCCAAUUUGACCCCUAGCCUGGGAACCUCCAUAAGUCGUGGGUGCAGCCCUAAAAAGACAAAAACAAAACAAAACAAAAAAAAACCCAUACACACACACACACACACACACACACACACGUAUUUAUCUAUGAGAUGAGCAAAUAUCUUAAAGUAAUAUUUUACUAGAGAAACAAAGAGAAAACUAAAAUGUCUGUUCUAUCUGAAAUAAAAAUUGAAUAUACAGACCGAUUAUCAAUGUGCAUUAAAAUAACUUAACUGGUACCGUAUGAGCUCUUUCAAUAAAAUAUUAAUGGCAUUCAACACAAUCGUUAAAUUGCAAUUAUACUACUUUAAUAAACACAUCUAAAAAUACUAACUUAUUUUUAUAGAAUCACUAAAAACAAGAUUAUUGACAAUACUGAGAAUUACUUAUCAAAACUGAAAAAAACCUGCAAUAUUAAAAUAUAUUAGAAUAUGACUGUAGAGUAUGGCCAACCUUAC